rnacentral:rRNA from 1 species
UGCCCAGGCGCGAAAACUUUACACUGCGGAAAACCGCGAUAAGGGGACCCCGAGUGCCAGCACCUAGUGCUGGCUGUCCAGCUGUCCAAAUAACAGUUGUUAGCAAGGGCCGGGCAAGACCGGUGCCAGCCGCCGCCGGUAACACCGGCGGCCCGAGUGGUAGCCGUUAUUAUUGGGUUUAAAGGGUCCGUAGCCGGCCUAUUAAGUCUCUUGGGAAAUCUGGCGACUCAAUCGUCAGUCGUCCAAGAGAUACUGGUAGGCUUGGGACCGGGAGAGGUGGGAGGUACUCCAGGGGUAGGGGUGAAAUCUCGUAAUCCUUGGGGGACCACCGAUGGCGAAGGCAUCCCACCAGAACGGGUCCGACGGUGAGGGACGAAAGCUGGGGGCACGAACCGGAUUAGAUACCCGGGUGGUCCCAGCCGUAAACGAUGCUCGCUAGGUGUCAGGUGCGGUGCGACCGCAUCUGGUGCCGCAGUGAAAACUUGAAGCGAGUCACCUGGGAAGUACGGUCGCAAGGCUGAAACUUAAAGGAAUUGGCGGGGGAGCAC